UAAAGCCGGUCCCAGUUCGGAUUGGAGUCUGCAACUCGACUCCAUGAAGUUGGAAUCGCUAGUAAUCCCGCAUCAGCCAUGGCGGGGUGAAUACGUUCCCGGAUCUUGUACUCACCGCCCGUCACACCAAGGGAGCCGGGGAUACCCGAAGGCCCUCCAAUUAGGGGGGACCACGGUAAAAUCGGUAACAAGGGUGAAGUCGUAACAAGGCAUCCGUAGCGGAAGCUGUGGAUGGAUCACCUCCUUUCUAG
rnacentral:rRNA from 1 species